GACGUAGGGUGCAAGCGUUGUCCGGAAUUACUGGGCGUAAAGAGCUCGUAGGUGGUUUGUCGCGUUGUUCGUGAAAACUCACAACUCAAUUGUGGGCGUGCGGGCGAUACGGGCAGACUGGAGUACUGCAGGGGAGACUGGAAUUCCUGGUGUAGCGGUGGAAUGCGCAGAGUAUCAGGAGGAACACCGGUGGCGAAGGCGGGUCUCUGGGCAGUAACUGACGCUGAGGAGCGAAAGCGUGGGGAGCGAUCCGG
rnacentral:rRNA from 1 species